GAUCCUGGCUCAGGAUGAACGCUAGCGAUAGGCUUAACACAUGCAAGUCGAGGGGCAGCAUGGUCUUAGCUUGCUAAGACUGAUGGCGACCGGCGCACGGGUGCGUAACGCGUAUGCAACUUGCCUCACAGAGGGGGAUAACCCGUCGAAAGACGGACUAAUACCGCGUACACUCUAUGUUGGGCAUCCAAUGUAGAGGAAAUGAAAUUCGCUGUGAGAUAGGCA
rnacentral:rRNA from 1 species